UACGUAGGGUGCGAGCGUUGUCCGGAAUUAUUGGGCGUAAAGAGCUCGUAGGCGGUCUGUCGCGUCGGUCGUGAAAACUUGGGGCUUAACCCUGAGCUUGCGGUCCGAUACGGGCAUGACUGGAGUUCGGCAGGGGAGACUGGAAUUCCUGGGUGUAGCGGUGAAAUGCGCAGAUAUCAGGAGGAACACCGGUGGCGAAGGCGG
rnacentral:rRNA from 1 species